rnacentral:rRNA from 1 species
AACGAACGCUGGCGGCGUGCCUAACACAUGCAAGUCGAACGGAACCUUCGGGUCUAGGGGCGCACGGGUGCGUAACGCGUGGGGACCUGCGCUUAUGAUCUGCCUAUCUCCCCGGAAGGGGUGCAAAUACCGGAUACUAACUUCGGACCAAAGAUUUAUCGCCUUGGGUUGGGCCGGCGUUGGUUUGGGUAGUUGGUAGGGUAAACGACUACCAAGGCGACGAUCCGUAGCUGGGCUGAGAGGAGGAUCAGCCACACUGGGACUGAGACACGGCCCAGACUCCUACGAGAGGCAGCAGUGGGGAAUAUAGGAGAAUGGGCGAGAGGCUGAUCCAGCGAUGCCGCGUGAGUGAUGAAGGCCUUAGGGUUGUAAAGCGCUUUUAACCGGGAUGAUAAUGACAGUACCGGGUGAAUAAGCACCGGCUAACUCCGUG